UCAGCACUAAAAAUUAGAAGGUAUUUUGAAUCCUGGUAUCUCGCCUGUUAUCUCUCCUUAUUGGCCUUCUUCGGAACUGAUUUUUCUUUUGAAAACCAAUUAUUUCACCAAAAUUGAAGUUUAAAAGGCACACUAUUUGUAUUGUAUCCAUCAUCCUUAUACCCAAGUUACUCUACCCGUCUUCAACGCCGCCUUCCUUGGCCACCACCGAACUAACCACCGUCAUUGCGAUAUACUAUCGGCGUCCCUAUAUCUGACCUCGAAUCAACCUAGAUCUAAACAUUGCCCUCAAAUCCAACGAUUUCUCUGCCAUCAGGUUCGCUCAGUACCGCUGAUACUAGGUUGAGGUGAAUAUUUUUUUAAUGGAAUUCUAUCGAUCUCCGUUCUGGGUAAUGAUUGUUAUUUUUCCGUUUUGAUUUUGAAGACCAAACAGGGGAUGUGCUAAAGUGUCGCUGUGCUACUCUCUCACAAUAGGUAAUCAUACUUGUGUAUUUUUGUUUUCUCAUUUCCCAUUUUCACAAGUUCUCGAGCUUUUCAACAAGACAAAUAGAAUCAACAUGCUUUGUCAGGCUAUUUAUGUUUUAAUCAUUGAUAUUGUUAGUAUAAACUGAGACAAGGUUCAUAGUUGUUAUGACUUUAUUGAUUCAUGUGUGUUUGGUAGGAGUCGAAGAUUCAUGUGUAGGGUCAAUUGCAGAACUUUAGCGAUGUGUGUUUAGUCACAUACCAGUUUAUUACACGGUUUAAAAUGAAAAGGUGCAUAUGUGUUGGUAACCGUCACCCAUCCCCUAGGUUACAUUCUUAACUUUUCUGCCAUUUUUUUGUGUUCAAAUCUUGCUGUCAAAUGCAAGAAAUAGCAAUCUAUAUUCAUUUUUUGUGCUAAAUUGUUACUGUCAAAUUCAAAUCACUCACUAUCUAAUAAACCAGACUGGCUUAUUAUAUGAAUGAGAUUAGAAGGAGAGUAGGUAGCCUAAAGCUUCCAACAGGACCAUACGAAAUGUUAUAGCAAUAUACAAUAAUUAUUGUGUUAAAAUGCUGUUAUCUAAUGCAAAAAAUAGCAAUCUACAUUCA